rnacentral:rRNA from 1 species
AAUGAACGUUGGCGGCGUGGAUUAGGCAUGCAAGUCGAGCGAGAAUCCCAGCUUGCUGGGAGGACAGCGGCGAAAGGGACAGUAAUGUGUAGAUCAUCUGCCCUCAGGUCCGGGAUAGCUGUGGGAAACUGCAGGUAAUACCGGAUAACAUCUCCGGAUCAAAGGUGUGAUUCCGCCUGAGGAUGAGUCUACAUCCUAUUAGCUUGUUGGUAGGGUAACGGCCUACCAAGGCUGCGAUGGGUAGCGGGUGUGAGAGCACGACCCGCGUCAUUGGGACUGAGACACUGCCCAGACAUCUACGGAUGGCUGCAGUCGAGAAUCUUCGGCAAUGGGCGCAAGCCUGACCGAGCGACGCCGCGUGCGGGAUGAAGGCCUUCGGGUGUAACCGCUGUCAGAGGGAUGAAAUGCGUGGGGGUUCUCCCCAUGUUUGACAUAGCCUCAGAGGAAGGACGGG